AGGACGAACGCUGGCGGCGUGCUUAACACAUGCAAGUCGAACGAGGCGCUUGCGCCUAGUGGCGAACGGGUGAGUAACACGUGAGCAACCUGCCCUUGGCUCUGGGAUAGCCUCCGGGAAAACGGGGAUUAAUACCGGACAUGACCUUCUCCUGCAUGGGGGAGGGUGGAAAGUUUUUCGGCCAGGGAGGGGCUCGCGGCCUAUCAGCUUGUUGGGGGGGUAACGGCCCACCAAGGCGACGACGGGUAG
rnacentral:rRNA from 1 species